GAAAUCAAGAGCUGGAGGAUGCUCAACCAACUGAGCUGCCCAGGCACCCCAAGAUUUCAUUCUUUUCAUGGCUGAGUCCCAUGUAUAGUCUAAAGUUACAAGAGGGACAGUUGUGUGGCUCUUCCUCCAAGGAUGAGAACAGUCUGGAGGAUACAGUGAAACUGCUUUGUUCUUCAGAGAGUCACAGAAAUGCUGAUGAGAAGCAAGAAGGGGCAGUAGAGAAAAAGGGGAGACAGUGUGAGACUGCAGCUUGAAUAAUAAAUGCCAAGGUCAAACCAGCAGAAGACUCAGGCCCUUCAGAGCUUCUUAUCAUCAUCAGUGUUGCUGGCGUCCUUUCCCUCCUCACCCCAAUGUUCCCCAGGUCCCUCUCCCCCAUGACCUCAACUCUUUGAAGCUCUGGGGAUGGCAUAGAGCCUGGUGGCCUCUUAUCUUCUCCCAUGGCUCCCCACCAUGAGCCCUGAGGAGAGAGGAAUACUCUCUGCUCCCAUGGCAGUGAGGACAGCUUGAAGCAGUGAACGUGCACUGUCCAUGGAGAGGAGCCAAGAUCCAGACUCAUGAUCUUCAUGGAACUGCAGUUUUGGAGUAAAUGAAUG